AAGUUGCUCUCUGUACAGAGAGCGGCGGCGGCGCCCCCUUCGGAUCCCCCCCCCACACCCCUCUCAGAUCUGAAGUUUUAAGGCCCGGAUUCGAUCUCCAAUCCCUCCUACUAGGAUGGUUUGGCUUCUCGACAAUGCCAUUGACACACAACACCGGGCCUACAUGAUGCGCGAGAAGGGGCUGAAGCUUGAACCUCUGAAGAUUCGGUAUCACGGGGUCUCUGGUCCUGCCAUGCCUUACGAUGAGCGGUACACACCGUACAUCAAGCAGGCAGGACUACUCCCGUGGAUUCAGUUGGUCAGCCG